CCUAUAUCCAAUUAUUAGCCUACUCAUUGCGUUGUGCAUGAAAACUAUUUUAAAAUGCACAGGCUGUAGUUCCUACCUGUAGUCCAUGACAAAGCAACAUCUGGAUGUAACCUACUGUAUGUCUCCCCAAGUUUUUUAAAACGAAACAAAUGUCAAUGACUUAUUUAGUUUGCUUUCUUGCAACAUUGACAUGAUUAGGCUAUGCAUUUGACCAGGCUGCCAGUCGAGGCAAAAGCCAAAUAUCCAACAACAGUUGCAGACUCUUUGCCUGCUCGAACCACAAUACUCGAGGGAUGUGCACUUAUCGCCAGAAACCCUGGAUGAACAAAGAAGUUUGCCUUCUCCUCAAGGCGUAAGCAGCUUUCUGGUCGGGAGACCAGGAGGCCUACAGCUCAGCCAGAUCCAACCUGAGGAAAGGAAUAUCCAGGGUCAAACACAUCUACGAGAAAAGGAUUGAAGAGCACUUCAACUCCUCCGACCCCUGGCGUAUGUGGCAAGGUCUACAUACAAUCACCAACAAAUCCCCUUGCAACUCUUCCCUACCCUCCUCUACUUCCCUCCCAGACGAGAUGAACCACUUCUAUGCUCGAUUUGACCGGGAAAACAAGGAGGCAGCCUUCAAGUCAGCUGUUUCACCGGACGAGGACACACUCCAAUUUUUCACCUCAGAUGUCUGCGACAUCCUGGGCCGGGUGAAUGCUCGGAAAGCUGCUGGCCCUGAUGGAGUUCCCGGGUGUGUGUUGCGAGCCUGCGCAGAGCAGUUGGCUCUGCAACGUCUUCAACACAUCCCCUACAGUUUGAAAUCUGCCACCAUUGUUCAGGUGCCUAAACACUCCACAGCCAAGGAACUAAAUGAUUUCUGCCCGGUUGCACUAACACCCAUCGUUGCGAAAUGUUUUGAAAGGCUGGUUCUCUCACAGCUGAAAUCAUGUCUGCCCACUGCACUGGACCUGUACCAAUUUGCCUACCGACGCAACAGAUCAACAGAGGAUCAGGGACACAGCUCCACCAAUCAACCUAAAACUUUGUUCACCAUUUCGUCAGGCUUUUGGUUGCAAGCUGGGAUUUUUUAAAUAUCCAUAUGGGGGUGGAAAAACAUCCUUAACAAUCAUACAGAGUCUCUCUAUCAACAUAGAAUUUUUUCGAAAUCAUGUUUUGACAUAAGACCUAUAAGCAUGUUUUUGAGGUAGUAGAAAGUGUAUUUAGCUAUUGCUUUCAUGUGGCUGUUGAAAUUUAGAUAACUGUCACAAAAACACCAAGAUUUUUAACAGUAUCCUUUACUUUUUGUUGCAAGCUGGGAUAUUUUUAAUACUCAUACGGAGGUGGAAAAACAUCCUUAACAAUCGUACAGAGUCUCUCUAUCAUAGCCCUGUAGGCAGUGUUGCAAUUGUACAGAGUCGCUCUAUCAAUGCCCUGUAGGCAGUGUUGCAUUCUCCUCAGUUCUGGCACAGUUGGGCUAAACUCCUGGCAAAAGGCCAACAGCUCAGUUGAGAAUUUACUCCCAGAGUCCUUUGGGUGUGGGAGGUGAGCCAUAGUGUCCUUGAUGUCCAUCUCAGUCAGUACACAAGCAAUCUCCCCUCUGGCCCCGCCACCUCCACCAUGUGCUCUCAGAUGCCCCCCCACCUCCACCAUGUGCUCUCAGACGCGCCCCUUCUCCCGAACUGACCCCUUGAGUUGCUAUUUCCUGCACCAUUUUUCGCUGUUAACUUAGAUUUUCCCUCAUUAAGUUUGUCUUCCAGUUGCCCUAUUAGUCUCACACUCUGACUGCCCUUUGAGGGGAAGCCAAAUUCUUGUACCCAACCAUAUGGCACUUUGACCAUACCUUUCUUUCAUUUGUAUUAUGAGAGGACUGUACCAUUGCACUGGAUCAUUUUUGAUUAAUACUUAAUGUCCCACCCAUAGCUGUAACUUGAGCUAUCCGUUUCCCCUCUUAAUACGCGUGGUCGUCACCGAGACACCACUUGUGGUUAAGUUGAGGCCGUCGCCACAACCAAGGGAGAUAAUAGGGAGAGGUGGGAAAACUAUAUGUCCCUCACACACACACUAAUACCUGGCACGGUAUCAUAAUCUCUGUCCCUCACACACACACUAAUACCUGGCACGGUAUCAUAAUCUCUGUCCCUCACACACACACUAAUACCUGGCACGGUAUCAUAAUCUCUGUCCCUCACACACACACUAAUACCUGGCACGGUAUCAUAAUCUCUGUCCCUCACACACACACUAAUACCUGGCACGGUAUCAUAAUCUCAUUGUAAAAUUGUAUCAUUACACCUUCUCUGCACACACAUGACUUGGUCAAUACAAUGAGUUAAUUAAGAACCAAGGACAUUAAGAACAUAUUGUCAUACAAGUAGUGUUGUAGUACUCGAGAUUGGUCUUGGUCUUGUCUCGGAUUCGACUAUAUUUGGUCUCGGUCUUGUCUUGGUCUCGGGUAUAGAGGUCUUGAGGGGAUUUGUGCAUAAGCCAAGCCGCUCAUGCUCACAAAACCUUAACAUAACUCAGCACCAGGGGUGGGUAGUAGGCUAACUACCAGACAUUCUGAAACAGAAGUAUCAAAUAAUAAGAACUAGGUUAUUUUCCAACGAAAGAAUGAAUUGACACUGCACUAGAAGUAUCAAUCAUAAGGAACAUUACAAACUAGAUUAAGAUUUAACAGAAGAGUCCGUUCAAAAGUGUAAGAUCUUACUGAAACACAAGUAUCAAAUCAAAACAACACAAGGUUAAAGUUCAUCUUUGUAAUUUUCCCCUCACAACACACACACACACACACAUAGGCACAUGCAUACACUAUCACACACAAACACACACACACACAAACACAUCAAGUCAAGUCAAGUGGGUUUUAUUGUCAUUUCAACUAUAUACAAUGUAUAUAGUGAGACAAAACAAUGUUUCACCAUGGAUCAAGUGGUGCUAAUAUAUAAAAGACAUUUGAGUCAGGAUACAUUUGGUGCACACACAUUAUAGCUAUACAUAAAGUGCAGUUACUACUGAAAGUAGGGCAUUUAAAGGGACAGGACAGACUACAAAAAGACAGGGCAUGAGUAGACUUGUAACAGAACCGUUCAGCUUAAGGUUGUUAUUUUUGCACCAGGUCUCCAGUGUAGCAACUUCCUUUCUGUAUGCUGACUGAUUCGGAAAACUGAUUCCACCAAGAGUCAGGUUUGUCAGAUGUAACCACCCCUUUUUUCUUAUCACUCAUUCCCACCAUAGCCUUAAUCCCUCUACAAGCACAGUAAGCAUUGCCAUUCUUCAGCUGAUCUUCCAACUUGUCCUUAAACUGGAUUUUACAACUGGAUGUAGUAAAUUUAAAAACAAAAAUGAUGAAUGUAUCAUUGAUUUGAUAAAUGGGAUUUAAUCAAUUCUCUAAACAAAAGCGUGUGGACUUGUUGGUUUGGAGAUUGUCAAGGUAGAUGUAUGUGUAUGUAGGAAGUGGAGUCUGAUGUCUUCUUUGUAGGCCACAAUAUGCAUACUUUCCCAAACAGCUAAAUCCUUUCUGUAGUUAGUCAGGGAGAGAAAUCUUUAUUGCUGUUUGACCUAAAUAAAUAAAAGGGUUGAAUGUU